rnacentral:tRNA from 1 species
GGGCGACUAGCUCAACUGGUUAGAGCGCGUCGUUGACAUCGACGAGGUAACAGGUUCGACCCCUGUGUCGCCCACCA